rnacentral:rRNA from 1 species
GUUCUUUGUUAAGAAGCUAAAUCAGGGGUGUCCGCCGACCGGAUGCGAUCGGAGGCUUACCCGUUUAAUUGAGAGUUCUGGUCGGGGAAGCAACCCGACAGGUCACUAGGUGUUUUUCAAACCCCCCGAGUGUGCGGGAAGCUUUCCGGAAAUUAGAUUUUUGCCAACGCAAAGGCGAGCGCACGGGAGGCCACAUUUCGCCCCCCCCCCGAAAGAAUAGUUAAAUUUUUUGGAGGGGGGGAAAGAUGCGUGGCACCCGGCACACCCCCCCCCCCCCAAAAGGGUUGGGGGGCAACUUGUGUUUAAAGACUCGCAUGGUCUCGGGAUUUUGCAAAUUACACCACAUAUUGCGAAUCUUUAAGUAAAAAGUCGUAACAAGGUUUCCGUAGGUGAACCUGCGGAAGGAUCAUUG